UCCCUGGUGGCUGAGAUGGUAAAGAAUCUGCUUGCCAUGCAGGAGACCCAGGUUCAAUCCCUGGAUUGGGAA
rnacentral:tRNA from 1 species